rnacentral:tRNA from 1 species
GCGCCGUUAGCUUAGUUGGUAGAGCAUCGGACUUUUAAUCCGAGGGUCGAUGGUUCGAGUCCAUCACGGCGCACCA